rnacentral:lncRNA from 1 species
UUCGAGGGAUGAGCACGACGGACGACGGCGACGAGCACGACGAGAGACGGCGGGCAAAGCGCGACUGAGCAGCGAGAAGAACGAACGAGGAACAUGGGAACGAGGAGAGGGGCUGGAGCACGACGAACAGACGAAGCUUUUGGGCGCGACGGACGGCGGCGGCGGUGGAGGAGGCUAGGGUUUUUUUGGGGGAAACAGGAAGAGCUCUGUUCUUUUUGAGGGUGAAGACGUGAAGUGAAGAGAAACUGAGAGUGAUGAGAGGACUCACUAUGGUCUUGGAGAAGAGCUGAGGAACAGAGGAAGUGAGAACUGAGAAAAAGGUUGCUAACCCUAAUUG